rfam:Oryza meridionalis cultivar OR44 (W2112) chromosome 12, whole genome shotgun sequence.
AAUAAGUGCAGUUUUACACUAUACAUCUCCAACGUUUGACCGUUCAUCUUAUUUGAAAUUUUUUUAUGAUUACUAUUUUUAUUAUUAUUAGAUGAUAAAGCAUGAAUAGUACUUUAUGUGUGACUAUUUUUCUAAGAAAUUUUCAUAAAUUUUUCAAAUAAGACAGACAGUCAAACGUUGGACACAAAUUUCCACGGCUGCACUUAUU